GAGUUUGAUCGUGGCUCAGAUUGAACGCUGGCGGCGUGCUUAACACAUGCAAGUCGAGCGGUAACAGGCGUAGCAAUACGUGCUGACGAGCGGCGAACGGGUGAGUAAUGCUUCGGAAUCUUCCCAGUGGUGGGGAAUAACUUGGGGAAACUCAAGCUAAUACCGCAUACGAACCAUGGUUGAAAGCGGGGGCUCGCAAGACCUCGCGCCAUUGGAUGAGCCGAAGUCGGAUUAGCUAGUUGGUGGGGUAAAGGCCCACCAAGGCGACGAUCCGUAGCUGGUCUGAGAGGACGACCAGCCACACUGGGACUGAGACACGGCCCAGACUCCUACGGGAGGCAGCAGUGGGGAAUAUUGGACAAUGGGCGGAAGCCUGAUGCAGCGACGCCGCGUGAGGGAUGACGGCCUCGGUUGUAACCGUAC
rnacentral:rRNA from 1 species